UACGUAGGUGGCAAGCGUUGUCCGGAUUUAUUGGGCGUAAAGCGAGCGCAGGCGGUUUCUUAAGUCUGAUGUGAAAGCCCCCGGCUCAAUCGGGGAGGGUCAUUGGAAACUGGGAAACUUGAGUGCAGAAGAGGAGAGUGGAAUUCCAUGUGUAGCGGUGAAAUGCGUAGAUAUAUGGAGGAACACCAGUGGCGAAGGCGGCUCUCUGGUCUGUAACUGACGCUGAGGCUCGAAAGCGUGGGGAGCAAACAGG
rnacentral:rRNA from 1 species